rnacentral:lncRNA from 1 species
AGCUUUAUUGCAAACCAGAUUGGAAAAUCACGAGAAAACACGCUUGACUAAAUAGAAAUGAUAUGAGGAGUUAAGGGGUGUGUGCAUAUGAGUAUAACUGAUCAAUAUGACUCUGACUCUGAAUUUUAGGUACGAGACUGACAUAAGGAUAGGUUGUGUAAAAGUUAUAGUUAAGUUGGAGGAUAGUAACCACCCAUAUGCCGUGUUAAGUUGGCGU